rnacentral:lncRNA from 1 species
AGAUCCGCCUCCAUCGCAGCCAGAAGCAAGAAGCUGUCUUCCCGCCCCCGCGUGCCUACAAUCAGCCCCAGUCUCCCUGGGAAACCGACGAGCGCGCGGGGUCGUUGCCGGGGGCACAGAGUGAGAACAAGCAAGGGAGCCCUGCUGAAUUGCAGCUUAGGAAGCCCUGAAUCCUGGAGAUAUGUUCCUGACCCUUCCUUCUUGAAGGGACAGCUGUGUAACCAUUCAACCAUCUGGCCAUCAGUUUCCACAUCUGUGAAAUCAACUUCUGCCUCAUGGAGCCGUGAGUUCCCAAGUGAAGGCAGUGAGGGGCUGUGGUGUGAUCCAGGAGGCUGAGAAUUAUGCAGUGGGUGCUGUCACCUUGAAGACAUCAGCGUGAUCAGGCAGAUCAUCAUGGUACUGCAUUUCCUGGACACGAUCUUAAUUUUCUUAAUACCUCCACCGACAUUUCAAAUAGCGUCUCUAAUGCCCCAGAGACUUUUAUGCCCCUAAGGUAGUUUUCUUUCUUUUGUGAAGCAGAAGAAGGGAAAUUGUUAAAGGGAAUAUUUUAACUAAAUUUAUUUCCAUAAAACUAUCUUUGUCUUUAUAUCUCAUGGAAAGUGUUAGGUAGCCUCAGGAUUAUAUCUCCGUUGGAAAACUGUAGAUGUAAACCUUCUUGCUAUCUACAUACUUACAUAUUUUUCUGUUGUUAUUUACUUAUGAAUAGCAUUUUGAUUAUAGCAGAAAUAAAAUACAUUAAAUGACUAAGCUCAGAAAUAAGAAAAAAAGGUCAAUGGUGAUCAUUUAUUUGGAAACUAUGAUAUUUUAAUGAUAUUAAUGGUGUAAUUGACAUUUAGUUAAACAUAUUUCAUCGUAAGUAGAGCACUUUAACUCUUACGGUCCACUUAAAAUGUAAUCAUACGUUUAUGUAUUUCUAGUUAAUGUAUCAAACUCAACUGAGUAAUCAAUGUACAUCAUUUAUUUUGCUCCUAAGUUAAUACACUAAGUUAUGCUUUAAAAUUACUAAUUUGCUGCAAUAUCCAAUACUCUCUUUUAAGUCUUACGUCUGCAGAAAAGGAUAUAAACAUUUCAUGACACCAAACCCAAGUAUUUUUGAUGCCCUUGGCAGUGUCAGUUGAACAGACAGUGUCAUUUAAUGUUUGAGACAGCAUCUGAAUUCCUUUUAUUCUUAAAAUUCUAUUUUAAAAUGCAGUUUUUGGAAAGUUAAUGUGAAUAGAAAAAUUUCUAACAUUUUAUGUGCAUGUGUUUUGUUUGUUACAGGCUUAGCAUCUCAAAUCUGAAAAUUCGAAAUCUGAAAUGUUUCUAAAAUUCAACUCUUUUGAGUGCUGAUAUGACUUUCAAAGGAAAAGCUCAUUGGAGCAUUUCAGAUUUUGGAUUUUUGGAUUUGGGAUGUUUAACCAGGGUAAAAUAUAGAAUGCAAAUAUUCCAAAAUCUGAAUAAAAUUGAAAUCUGAAAUGCUUAUGGUUCCAAGCAUUUUGGAUAAGGGAUAAUUAAGCUGUAUAACUUAUAAAACUGAAUAUAACAAAAUUUCCCAACAUGUGGAAAAUGAUGUCUUUUUUCAAAAAUGUCAAUAGCAGAUACAUGGUACAGUAAGUUAGGGGAAAAAAUGAGGUUUCAUAUCUUCUAGUUUCCUAAUUAAAAGGAGCCCAUUCUGGGUUGGAAGAAAGUGUCAGUAAGAUCAUUUCUCCUAUUUGAAAAUCAUACAAAGCUUGUCAGAGUGACUCAGGCCAGGAGUGUAGCUGGGCGUGUAGCUAAAUGAUAUCUCCCCACAUCUAUAUAAUAAGCUGUUACCUGCUUUAAAAGGAAAAGCUCUCAGCAUGACUCUAAUGUUGCAUUUCUGGAAUACAGCUUGAAAAGCUCUUCUCAGGGUUGAACAGAGCAUGAAGGUAAUGGUUAUUAUCUACUCACAUUAAAAAAAAAAAAAAAGAAAGAAACCACCACAGAAAACUACUUACUGUCUUUAGGCUCUACUUUCAAAAGUGCCCUUUAUGAACGCUUUUACACUGUUGAUGGGAGUGUAAAUUAGUUCAACCAUUGUGGAAGACAGUGUGGUGAUUCCUCAAGGAUCUAGAAUCAGAAAUACCAUUUGACCCAGCAAUCCCAUUACUGGGUAUAUACCCAAAGGAUUAUAAAUCAUUCUAUUAUAAAGACACAUGCACACGUAUGUUUAUUGCAGCACUGUUCACAAUAGCAAAGACUUGGAACCAACCCAAAUGCCCAUCAAUGAUAGACUGGAUAAAGAAAUUGUGGCACAUACACACCAUGGAAUACUAUGCAGCCAUAAUAAAAGAUGAGUUCAUGUCCUUUGCAAGGACAUGGACAAAGCUGGAAACCAUCAUUCUCAGCAAACAAGAACAGAAAAUCAAACACUGCAUGUUCUCAGUCUAAGUGGGAGCUGAACAAUGAGAAAACAUGGACACAGAGAGGGGAACAUCACACACUGGGCCUGUUGGGGGGUAGGGGGCUAGGGGAGGGAUAGCAUUAGGAGAAAUACCUAAUGUAAAUGACAGGUUAAUGGGUGCAGCAAACCACCAUGGCAUGUGUAUACCUAUGUAACAAACCUGCAUGUUCUGCACAUGUAUCCCAGAACUUAAAGUAUAAAUAAAUAAAUGAAUAAAUAAAUAAAUUUUAAAAAGUGCCCUUUAUGUGUGUGUGUGUGUAUAUAUACAUAUAUAUUACAUAUAUGUUUUAAAUAUAUUUAUUUUUUGUAGUUCAGAGGUCUUUUAUCUUUCUAUACCUAUUAUGCCAUGAAUUCAUAGGGAAUAGGUUCCAGCAGCUCAGGCUCCUCUCCA